GAACUGAAGAGUUUGAUCAUGGCUCAGAUUGAACGCUGGCGGCAGGCCUAACACAUGCAAGUCGAGCGGAUGAAGGGAGCUUGCUUCUGGAUUCAGCGGCGGACGGGUGAGUAAUGCCUAGGAAUCUGCCUGGUAGUGGGGGACAACGUUCCGAAAGGAGCGCUAAUACCGCAUACGUCCUACGGGAGAAAGUGGGGGAUCUUCGGACCUCACGCUAUCAGAUGAGCCUAGGUCGGAUUAGCUAGUAGGUGGGGUAAUGGCUCACCUAGGCGACGAUCCGUAACUGGUCUGAGAGGAUGAUCAGUCACACUGGAACUGAGACACGGUCCAGACUCCUACGGG
rnacentral:rRNA from 1 species